AUUGAACGCUGGCGGCAGGCCUAACACAUGCAAGUCGAACGAGUGGCGGACGGGUGAGUAAUGUCUGGGAAACUGCCCGAUGGUGGGGGAUAACUACUGGAACCGGUAGCUACUACCGCAUACCCUCGGAUGUGACAAGAUGGGAUUAGCUAGUAGUUGGGGUAACGGCUCACCUAGGCGACGAUCCCUAGCUGGUCUGAUAGGAUGACCAGCCACACUGGAACUGAGACACGGUUCAGACACCUCCGGGACGCAGCAGUGGGUAAGAUUGCACAAUGGGCGCAAGCCGGAUGCAGCCACGCCGCGUGUAUGAAGAAGGCCGUCGGGUUGUAAAGUAAUUUCAGCGAGGAGGCGUUACUCGCAGAAGAAGCACCGGCUAACUCCGUGCCAGCCGCCGCGUAAUAC
rnacentral:rRNA from 1 species